rnacentral:rRNA from 1 species
UACAGAGGUCUCAAGCGUUGUUCGGAUUCAUUGGGCGUAAAGGGCGUGUAGGCGGCGGGGUAAGUCGGGUGUGAAAUCUCAGAGCUCAACUCUGAAACUGCACUCGAUACUGCUCUGCUUGAGGACUGGAGAGGAGACUGGAAUUCACGGUGUAGCAGUGAAAUGCGUAGAUAUCAUGAGGAAGACCAGUGGCGAAGGCGGGUCUCUGGACAGUUCCUGACACUGAGGCACGAAGGCCAGGGGAGCAAACGGG